rnacentral:rRNA from 1 species
CGCUAGCUACAGGCUUAACACAUGCAAGUCGAGGGGCAGCAUCAUCAAAGCUUGCUUUGAUGGAUGGCGACCGGCGCACGGGUGAGUAACACGUAUCCAACCUGCCGACAACACUGGGAUAGCCUUUCGAAAGAAAGAUUAAUACCGGAUGGCAUAGUUUUCCCGCAUGGGAUAAUUAUUAAAGAAUUUCGGUUGUCGAUGGGGAUGCGUUCCAUUAGGCAGUUGGCGGGGUAACGGCCCACCAAACCAACGAUGGAUAGGGGUUCUGAGAGGAAGGUCCCCCACAUUGGAACUGAGACACGGUCCAAACUCCUACGGGAGGCAGCAGUGAGGAAUAUUGGUCAAUGGACGAGAGUCUGAACCAGCCAAGUAGCGUGAAGGAUGACUGCCCUAUGGGUUGUAAACUUCUUUUAUACGGGAAUAAAGUUAGCCACGUGUGGCUUUUUGUAUGUACCGUAUGAAUAAGGAUCGGCUAACUCCGUGCCAGCAGCCGCGGUAAUACGGAGGAUCCGAGCGUUAUCCGGAUUUAUUGGGUUUAAAGGGAGCGUAGGCGGGUUGUUAAGUCAGUUGUGAAAGUUUGCGGCUCAACCGUAAAAUUGCAGUUGAUACUGGCGACCUUGAGUGCAACAGAGGUAGGCGGAAUUCGUGGUGUAGCGGUGAAAUGCUUAGAUAUCACGAAGAACUCCGAUUGCGAAGGCAGCUUACUGGAUUGUAACUGACGCUGAUGCUCGAAAGUGUGGGUAUCAAACAGGAUUAGAUACCCUGGUAGUCCACACAGUAAACGAUGAAUACUCGCUGUUGGCGAUAUACGGUCAGCGGCCAAGCGAAAGCAUUAAGUAUUCCACCUGGGGAGUACGCCGGCAACGGUGAAACUCAAAGGAAUUGACGGGGGCCCGCACAAGCGGAGGAACAUGUGGUUUAAUUCGAUGAUACGCGAGGAACCUUACCCGGGCUUAAAUUGCAACUGACGGAACCGGAAACGGUUCUUUCUUCGGACAGUUGUGAAGGUGCUGCAUGGUUGUCGUCAGCUCGUGCCGUGAGGUGUCGGCUUAAGUGCCAUAACGAGCGCAACCCUUACGGAUAGUUACCAUCAGGUUAUGCUGGGGACUCUACCCGGACUGCCGUCGUAAGAUGUGAGGAAGGUGGGGAUGACGUCAAAUCAGCACGGCCCUUACGUCCGGGGCUACACACGUGUUACAAUGGGGGGUACAGAAGGUAGCUACACGGCGACGUGGUGCUAAUCCCAAAAGCCUCUCUCAGUUCGGAUUGGAGUCUGCAACCCGACUCCAUGAAGCUGGAUUCGCUAGUAAUCGCGCAUCAGCCACGGCGCGGUGAAUACGUUCCCGGGCCUUGUACACACCGCCCGUCAAGCCAUGAAAGCCGGGGGUACCUGAAGUACGUAACCGCGAGGAGCGUCCUAGGGUAAAACUGGUGAUUGGGGC